GGUCCCAUGGCGCAAUCGGUUAGCGCGUCGUACUAAUAAUGCGAAGGUUCUGAGUUCAAUCCUCAGUGGGACCA